rnacentral:rRNA from 1 species
UGCUCAGGACGAACGCUGGCGGCGUGCCUAAUACAUGCAAGUCGAGCGAACAGAUGAGGAGCUUGCUCCUCUGACGUUAGCGGCGGACGGGUGAGUAACACGUGGGCAACCUGCCCUUAAGACUGGGAUAACUCCGGGAAACCGGGGCUAAUACCGGAUAAUUGAAAGAACCUCCUGGUUCUUUUAUGAAAGGCGGCUUCGGCUGUCACUUAAGGAUGGGCCCGCGGCGCAUUAGCUAGUUGGUGAGGUAACGGCUCACCAAGGCAACGAUGCGUAGCCGACCUGAGAGGGUGAUCGGCCACACUGGGACUGAGACACGGCCCAGACUCCUACGGGAGGCAGCAGUAGGGAAUCUUCCGCAAUGGACGAAAGUCUGACGGAGCAACGCCGCGUGAGUGAAGAAGGUUUUCGGAUCGUAAAGCUCUGUUGUCAGGGAAGAACAAGUACCAUAGUAACUGAUGGUACCUUGACG